rfam:Ktedonobacter sp. 13_2_20CM_2_56_8 13_2_20cm_2_scaffold_2604, whole genome shotgun sequence.
GCCGGUGUAGCUCAGCGGUAGAGCAAUGCUUUCGUAAAGCAUGGGCCGUCAGUUCGAUCCUGACCACCGGCU